rnacentral:rRNA from 1 species
AUGGACGUGGUCCUGACUGCGGUGGAUUUUAGUCUUGUUUCCUUCUUUGCAACGACCAUGCUGCUACCCCUCUUUGCUAACAUGUGUUCUGUUUUUGCAGAUUGGUGUGAAGUGAGCACACAUUUGUUGAUCGUUAGUCUACCGCUUGCUUCCUGUUCUCUUCAUUACUUCCUUCCUGCCGUACCACUGGAUCGCGACAGUUAUUGGAAGAUGAUGAACAAGUACAUAGGAUCAGAUGUAAUGUCAGUUAUUACACUUCUAAUCAUCAUCUUUGAGCUUUUGGGAAAAUGGCAGAGAUGGACUAUGCCCUUAAGUUUCCCUCUAUACCACGCUGGAACGUCUAGACCACAAGAGGAACAUAAAACAUUUUGA